AAUUUAAGUCGCCACCUGGCAGAUUUGGUGUCUUGCACACAGCAUUUACAGCCUAACUGUAUUGCUGUCACAGAAACGUGGCUCACUGCACAGUCCUCGUUAGACAGUGUCCAAAUUGAUGGAUAUGCUUUCCACAGUCGUCCGCGAGGUUUGUGUUACAGCAGCAGUAACCCCAAAUUGUUAGAGCUCCAGGAUCUAGAACAUGGUGGAGUUGGUUUGUACAGUGUAGGCAAUUUGGACUGUAGCAUCCUGCAGGCACCCGAUUUGAAUCUGGAGUGUUUGGUGUGCCUGUGUAGCAAAUUUAACAUUGUGAUGGCAGUAAUUUAUCGUCCACCAUGUUAUCCAAAGUCUUUAUUUAAACAAAAUCUGGGGAAAUUACUUGAUUGGUUGAAUCCAAUUAGUGACACAGUUGUAGUGAUGGGAGAUUUUAAUGAGAAUGUUUUGAAAAAAUCAUCAAUUUGUAAAUUCAUGGGGCAAAAAGGAUUUCAUCAGCAUGUAACACAGGAGACAACAGAAAAGGGGACGUUAAUUGAUCACGUUUAUGUUAAAACAGCACAGUAUGAUGUGGAAUGUGCAGUGAUGCCCACGUACUUCAGUGAUCAUGAAGGUAUUCUGUGUAGUUUUAGUGUGAGAGAUGAUCAGGGUGAGCUAGAGGACUUAGACAGGUUGUUUGGGGACUUUGAGGAUGUAGAGGUGGAUGCAUAGUGUUUAGAUGUGGAUUAGAUCAGGUUGGUUUGUGUAGCUUCAUGUGACUCAUACAAAGUCCCAGUGUAAAUGCAGUGGUGUUAUUAUUGUUGUCAUUGUGUUUAUCUGUAGAGUUUUCAGAGGAAACUGACUUGUAGUUUGUUGUUGUGUUGAAAUUGUGUAGGUUUGCGUGCACGUGAAGUUGUGUUAGUGUAGAGUCUGUCCCACUCCAUUGUGUGAAGAUUGUGUAUUGUAGGGAGAUUUGAGUGUAUUGUGUGGAAAUGUUUUUAGUAUGUUGAUAUGAUUAUUGUGUAGAGAUUUUAGGUGAAACCAAUCAUGUAUUACAGGUGGAAUGAGUUGAGUGUUAGCUGUUGUGAAUAGUGUUAGUUAAUUAAUAUAAUCAUGGUUUUUACAGCUGUUAGUGAUUGUAGAUGUGUUGGUGUCUGUCUGCCACAUGUUGGUUGUUGGUCUCUGUUGCGACUGUGAAUGUAUGUAUUUAUGCAUGUUAGAGUUUGUGGUUCUUUCAGUCCUGAUGUGUUCAUAUGCAACUGUUUCAGUCAUGAAAAUAUGAAAAGGUUAAUUUGACUCAAACAAAUACAUCAAUAGAAAAUAGAUGGGCUUGAUGUUGCAUGUUUUCUGUAGCCCUCUAGUGUUCAAAAUUCUGAUCAGUAACUUAGAAAAGAUGCAGCAGUACAAUUAUGAUGUUACAUAUGAACACAAGAGGAAAUGAUUGUAUUUAAUAAGUUAACAGUUAAUAUUAUGGUUGUUGUUAUUAUUUAUUCAUGUAUUUAUUUAUCAGGCUUUACAGGAUACGACAUCCCUCUGUCCUUGGGACCCUCACAGCUGAUCAUGAACACCCCCCCCCCUCCCACACACACACACACACACACACGGAAGAGCAACUGAGGAGGGAUCCCUCUUCCCAGACGGACAGACAGGCAGUAGAUGGCGUACAGAACAGAUCAACAGAUCAGCAUAAUAAACAGUAAUACGUAUGACACAAUGAGACAGAAAGAGAGAAAUACAGAGAGAGAGAGAGAGGCGCAGGAGAAACGGUAAUGACAGCAGCUUACAACAACAUUAAUCAUCUGGCAGGAGCACGGUAGCAACAGUAGCUUUUAAUACAGGAAGUGCAGUCAGUAGUUCAGAUAAGAAAUGGUCAUGUUUGUGUACAUGACCUCACAGCAAAUCUGUUCUGGCACCACAAGGCACAGACUCUUCAUUCUGCAUGUCUUAGCUGCCGAACAGGACACUGCUGCUGCUUGUUGUUGUUGUUGUUGUUGUUGUUUCCACGAAUUCUCCUCCCCCUCGUGUCCCUCCAAUCUUGUGUUUUCUCUCUGUAGUCUUGUGCACUGUAGUCUAUGUGAGGGACAUGAUAAAAGUUCAAAAAGUAAUCCAAUGUCAAUUGUUGUUUGAGAGCAUGGACAGGAAGAGAAUGUAGGACUGUUAAUUGAUCAUUUUUUU